UACGAAGGGGGGCUAGCGUUGCUCGGAAUCACUGGGCGUAAAGGGUGCGUAGACGGGUCUUUAAGUCAGGGGUGAAAUCCUGGAGCUCAACUCCAGAACUGCCUUUGAUACUGGCGACCUUGAGUCCGGGAGAGGUGAGUGGAACUGCGAGUGUAGAGGUGAAAUUCGUAGAUAUUCGCAAGAACACCAGUGGCGAAGGCGGCUCACUGGCCCGGUACUGACGCUGAGGUGCGAAAGCGUGGGGGAGCAAACAGG
rnacentral:rRNA from 1 species